AUUGAACGCUGGCGGCAGGCCUAACACAUGCAAGUCGAGCGGAUGAAGGGAGCUUGCUCCUGGAUUCAGCGGCGGACGGGUGAGUAAUGCCUAGGAAUCUGCCUGGUAGUGGGGGAUAACGUCCGUAAACGGGCGCUAAUACCGCAUACGUCCUGAGGUAGAAAGUGGGGGAUCUUCGGACCUCACGCUAUCAGCUGAGCCUAGGUCGGAUUAGCUAGUUGGUGGGGUAAAGGCCUACCAAGGCGACGAUCCGUAACUGGUCUGAGAGGAUGAUCAGUCACACUGGAACUGAGACACGGUCCAGACUCCUACGGGAGGCAGCAGUGGGGAAUAUUGGACAAUGGGCGAAAGCCUGAUCCAGCCAUGCCGCGUGUGUGAAGAAGGUCUUCGGAUUGUAAAGCACUUUAAGUUGGGAGGAAGGGCAGUAAGUUAAUACCUUGCUGUUUUGACGUUACCAACAGAAUAAGCACCGGCUAACUUCGUG
rnacentral:rRNA from 1 species